UGCGUAGGCGGCUUGAUAAGUAAGGUGUGAAAGACCUCGGCUCAACCGAGGAAUUGCGCUUUAAACUGUCAGGCUAGAGGAAGGUAGAGGUAAGCGGAACUUGCGGUGGAGCGGUGAAAUGCAUUGAUAUCGCGGGGAACACCAGUGGCGAAGGCGGCUUACUGGGCCUUUUCUGACGCUGAGGCACGAAAGCUAGGGUAGCGAACAGGAUUAGAUACCCUGGUAGUCC
rnacentral:rRNA from 1 species